GGCUGGGUAGUUCAAUAGGAUAGAACAACAGUUUCCUAAACUGUAAGUUGUGGGUUCGAAUCCCUCCCCGGUCAUAU
rnacentral:tRNA from 1 species